CGGCAGGCCUAACACAUGCAAGCCGAGGGGUAGUCUCUUUCGGGAGAACACGACCGGCGCACGGGUGAGUAACGCGUAUGCAACCUACCUUUGGCACGGGGACAGCCCGGGGAAACCCGGAUUAAUACCCGGUAUAGUCUGUUAUACACCUGUAUAAAAGACGAGAGCUACGGCGGCCAAAGAUGGGCAUGCGUGCCAUUAGUUAGUUGGUAGGGUAACGGCCUACCAAGGCAUCGAUGGCUACGGGGUCUAAAAGGAUGAGCCCGCACACUGGUACUGAGACACGGACCAGACUCCUACGGGAGGCAGCAGUGAGGAAUAUUGGUCAAUGGGUGGAAGCCUGAACCAGCCAUGCCGCGUGCAGGAAGACGGCCUUAUGGGUUGUAAACUGCUUUUCUACGGGACGAACGGCUCUGACGCGUCAGGGAUUGACGGUACCGUAGGAAUAAGCAUCGGCUACCUCCGUGCCAGCAGCCGCGGUAAUACGGAGGAUGCGAGCGUUAUCCGGAUUCAUUAGGUUUAAAGGGUGCGUAGGCUGGGCAAUACGUCAGUGGUGAAAGUCCGCGGCUCAACCGUGGGAUUGCCAUUGAAACUGUCGUCCUUGAGUACAGUCGACGUAGGCGGCAUGUGUACUGUAGCGGUGAAAUGCAUAGAUAUUACCCAGAACACCGAUUGCGUAGGCAGCUUACCAGCCUGGAACUGACGCUGAUGCCCGA
rnacentral:rRNA from 1 species